UCAACGGCUCUUUUCAGAGCCACCCACGAUAUCAAUUAAAGAGCUG
rfam:Cavia porcellus supercont2_38 genomic scaffold, whole genome shotgun sequence.